CCUACGGGAGGCAGCAGUGAGGAAUAUUGGUCAAUGGGCGCGAGCCUGAACCAGCCAAGUAGCGUGAAGGAUGACUGCCCUACGGGUUGUAAACUUCUUUUAUAAAGGAAUAAAGUGAGGCACGGGUGCCUUUUUGUAUGUACUUUAUGAAUAAGGAUCGGCUAACUCCGUGCCAGCAGCCGCGGUAAUACGGAGGAUCCGAGCGUUAUCCGGAUUUAUUGGGUUUAAAGGGAGCGUAGGUGGGUUGUUAAGUCAGUUGUGAAAGUUUGCGGCUCAACCGUAAAAUUGCAAUUGAUACUGGCAGCCUUGAGUACAGGUGAGGGAGGCGGAAUUCGUGGUGUAGCAGUGAAAUGCUUAGAUAUCGCGAAGAACUCCGAUUGCGAAGGCAGCUUACUAAACUGCCACUGACAUUGAUGCACGAAGGUGUGGGUAUCAAACGGGAUUAGAUACCCUUGUAGUC
rnacentral:rRNA from 1 species